CUGGCCGUAAACGAUGCCAACUGGGCGUUGGUGGUGAAAGCCAUCAGGGUCGGAGCGAACGCGGUAAGUUGGCCGCCUGGGGAGUACGACCGCAAGGUUAAAACUCAAAGGAAUUGACGGGGCCCGCACAAGCAGCGGAGCGUGUGGUUUAAUUCGAGGCAACACGGAGAACCUUACCUGGGUUAGACAUCCACCUGGUAAUGAGAUGAAAGUCGAGUGACCCUUCGGGGAGGGUGGACAGGUGCUGCAUGGCUGUCGUCAGCUCGUGCCGUGAGGUGUUAGGUUAAGUCCUGUAACGAGCGCAACCCUUACAGCCAGUUACAAGUGUCUGGCAGGACUGCCGGUGUGAAGCCG
rnacentral:rRNA from 1 species